UUGGCAGUACGUCCAACUGGCCUCCAACCGCAGACCAUAUGUAACCACGCCAGCCCAAGACCACCACAUCCUGCUUCUUCACCUGCGGGAUUGUCUGAGUGGGUGCUGAAGAGUAUUUCUUCUCCUGUAGGCUACCUGCUGACCCGCUCCACUCUGACCCACUCCUGCUGACCCGCUCCACUCUGACCCACUCCUGCUGACCCGCUCCACUCUGACCCACUCCUGCUGACCCGCUCCACUCUGACCCACUCCUGCUGACCCGCUCCACUCUGACCCACUCCUGCUGACCCGCUCCACUCUGACCCACUCCUGCUGACCCGCUCCACUCUAAUAUACAGCAAUUCCAGCAUUCAAACUAUGCAACUGCCAUUCGAUUAAUGGAAAGAGACAUCUGUUACAAAACACAAGUUUAAUGACAUUCGGAUAUUGUCAAACCAAGCCUUCACUACUAAAUAGGGAUGGAUCUAUUUUCUGUUUGUUGAGAUUGACAUACUGUACUUGAUGUGUUAAACACAAACAAUGAUAAGUGCUCAAAGUCAGUAAUCGGUUAUCAGUUGUGUUGCUUAAUGGUUGUGUGUGUGGUGUAUUGGUGUAGAAACUUGCUGAUGGAAAAUGUUGCAUAUUUUAUAUAAUUAUAUAUAUAGCACCAAAAUGUUAAAUUUCCCCCUGGCUGAUCAUUGUCUGUAGCCGGCUCUGAUUGUAGUGCAAUGAGACAGGCAGGGAGAGUGAGCUUGUCUGUGGUGGUCAGUGAACCCUUAACCUUCUGGCCCGUUAGCCCUGCAUGGCAUCGACUGUGCCACAAAACCAUGCUGAAGUGGUAAAGUCGAUAUACACAUGGUUGCUGUAGUUAUCAUUAUUUGUGAACAUUAUGAACAUAAAACAUUUUAAUCUAUUUCUCCACUCUUAUAUAAAAAGUCUACAAUUCCUCUUAGCAUACUGUAAUAAAAUGUGUGUUUUAUGAAGCUGAUGUUCCAGCUUUGGAACAUGCUUUAUCCAGACAACUCAGUAUUAAUGAAAGUGAGGUUUUCUCUGGUGCACAUGGCGCACCCAGUCAAACAGCAGACCUGACUUGUGUUAAAACAGAAGGAAAAAAAAGUUCACACAUGGAGCUAAGUGAAGGUGUCAGAGCACCGUGCGUUAGAACCUCUGAUUCGUUCACGGGUAAAGAGAGCUCCCUCUCCGGCCCGCCGCCCGCCUGCCCAACCUACUCUUUGUUAUUAAGCAGGUCCAACCAAAACACAAAGGGAUACUGUUUUUUCUGUGAGUAAUGCAUUAACCUGCUGGGGAAAAGUUCAUGUUAAAGUAUAGGUUUGGACAGCACAAGAUUUAUGGCGAUGGCUGCAGAAAUUAUGCCUCUUUCCCCCCAAAGGCACUUUAAUUAUGUAAUUACAGCCAGCUGCUUUUCAUUUGCGGCCGUCGUUAAUUAGGGACAGGGGUCUGCAGUUCAAGUGCUCGGACUCUGCUCUGCGAUAAGUCUAGUAAUGUGCGGGGGGCUGCAGCCUAGGCAGGCAGGGCCCCGCCGGGAUGAUUAGCCAAAUCCACAGCAACACUCAUUUGUUAUUCAAGCUUUACCCAGGAGCCUCGCUCCAGCCUCCUCGUGGGUCUAGAGAAAGAGGGAAAGAGUUUCGAGCGAGCACCAUUUACUCCCCGUUGUAACAAUUGUCCUAAAAUAAGAAGCAGCGAUAUGUGUGUUUGUUUCCCUAUUAGGGGCAAAUGCAGAGUAAAUAUAUAGUGAGUUGGGGGCCCCGACACGAGUAAAUAUAUAGUGAGUUGGCGGCCCCGACACCAGAGUAAAUAUAUAGUGAGUUGGGGGCCCCAGCCUUUUUUUCAUUUUAAGUCAUCUCCCCAUCUCAGGUUAUGGAUAAUUCCUUCAACCGAACAGCAGGGGGAAGGAUGGAGGGAGGAAGAGGGGCCAUGUGGAUCUGCGUUCCAUAGCUGUUGGAUUGAUAUUCAAGUCAAGGGUGCGGUGCUCUCUAAAACUCAGCUGAAGACAUUUUAGGAGAUGUCAUUUAGGGGUAACAGUGUCUGCAUGUCUGGGAUGAGGCUUGCCUUGCACUGUCACAACCGAGGAUGUUUGGAUAGCAAAGCCUCAAUCAAUAUGUUCCUGAUAAAGCGUGUCUCUAUGGAACUGCUAUGUAGCCUUAAGGGAGCGUUAACAUUGAACACGCAGUAGAUAUGUCACUAGACUGAGAAGGUCAAAGGUCAGGGAUAAGGAAAUGCAUGCAUUACUUGUAUAAGGGGCCGUCUCAGUCAGUACUACUCUGUAUACUUUGGGACUAGGCCUUUGGUUUGUCUGUAACGUUUCUCAAAGUUUGCAAGCAGUAGAAAUGUAUGCAUGCACCGUGUCUGUCGACAGUGAUUAUGAAUCAAGAUCUGUUUCGGUUUGGUAGACAGUCAAAACAUCUGGGGAAAGAAAGUUGGUAUUUGCAUGAGAAAUGAAAAAACAUUUAUUCAUAAUUAAAAUCUGUCCUUUCGUGUUAAAUAGGUAUUCUGUAAAACUAUCACAGCUUGCUCUUAGAUUCAUUUGGUUGUGGUCAACAAACACACUCUGGAUUAAAUCCUUCUUCACACCUAGUUUUAUGCAUUGUACACAGAUACUGAUGGUCCCAAACGGCAACAUAUUCCCUUUUUAUAGUGCACUACUUUUGACCAGAGCUCUAUGAUCAAAAGUAGUGCACUAUUUAGGGAAUACGGUGCCAUUUGGGGCGUACAAACCAUUUGUUUUGGAAGGUGACUUUAUAAACAGACAAUCUGUAAUCUGAUUACAUUUAAUAACUGCCGAAUUACCCGAACAACAUGAGAAAGUAAUUCAAUUAUUAGCUGUGUUGUCUUCAGUAAGCCACUCAUCUCAAACUGCACUCCAUUCCUCAUUUAGUGCACUACUUUUGACCAGGACCCAUAGGUUAUUGGGAUGACUCGUGAAUUUGUUUGGUAAAAUCCCAAGGUCAUCCUAAGAAAGAAGUGUACAGAAUUAGAACACAAUGCUAUGGUAAUUCAUUAUGACACAUGAUAAUGCUAUGGUAAUUCGUUAUGACACACGAUAAUGCUAUGGUGAUUCAUUAUGACACAUGAUAAUGCUAUGGUGAUUCAUUAUGACACAUGAUAAUGCUACGGAGAUUCAUUAUGACACAUGAUAAUGCUAUGGUCAUUCAUUAUAAUGCUAUGGUAAUUCAUUAUGACAAAUGAUAAUGCUAUGGGCAUUCAUUAUGACACAUGAUAAUGCUAUGGUAAUUCAUUAUGACACAUGAUAAUGCCAUGGUAAUUCGUUACGACACAUGAUAAUGCUACGGUGAUUCAUUAUGACACAUGAUAAUGCUAUGGUAAUUCAUUAUGACACAUGAUAAUGCUAUGGGCAUUCAUUAUGACACAUGAUAAUGCUAUGGUAAUUCAUUAUGACACAUGAUAAUGCCAUGGUAAUUCGUUACGACACAUGAUAAUGCUACGGUGAUUCAUUAUGACACAUGAUAAUGCUAUGGUAAUUCAUUAUGACACAUGAUAAUGCUAUGGUAAUUCGUUCUGACACCUGAUAAUGCUACGGUGAUUCAUUAUGACGCAUGAUAAUGCUAUGGUCAUUCAUUAUAAUGCUAUGGUAAUUCAUUAUGACACAUGAUAAUGCUAUGGUAAUUCAUUAUGACACACGAUAAUGCUAUGGUCAUUCAUUAUAAUACGUGAUAAUGCUAUGGUCAUUCAUUAUAAUACGUGAUAAUGCUAUGGUCAUUCAUAGUUUAAAGAUUUAACCUUAGAUGAAUUGAUCCAGGUUUAAAAUUAAGUGGUGCAACAGAUCUCUGAUUUCUUAUAAACCAUGUUGGUGCAACCCUAUCUGUAUUGAUUGUUUGUAUUACAUUAAAAAAUAUAUAUUUGACCUUUAUUU